CGGCGCGUAGCUCAAUGGAUAGAGCGCCGCACUACGGAUGCGGAGGUUGAAGGUUCGAGUCCUUCCGUGCCGA
rnacentral:tRNA from 1 species